rnacentral:lncRNA from 1 species
CUGGGAUUACAGGUGUGAGCCACCGUACCCGGCCAUAGAGCAGCCUCUUCCUUUUCCUGUUGGGUCUCUGCUCAAAUGUCAUGUCAGAGAGGCAGACCUCUGGGGCGGUCUAUCUGAGGGAAUGCACCCAUCUCCCUUCCUCUGACCAGUUAGUUACCUUGCUUAUUCUUUCAAAGCUCUUACCACCACCUGAAGUCAUCUAUCUGGUUUGGUUAUUUUAUUGUUUAGUAGCAGUCUUUAUUUUAUUAUCAUUAUUAUUUUUUGAUGGAGUCUCACUCUGUUGCCCAGGCUGGAGUGCAGUAGCAUGAUCUCGGCUCACCAGAACCUCUGCCUCCCAGGUUCAAGCGAUUCUCCUGCCUUAGCUUCCUGAGUAGCUGGGACUACAGGCACGUGCCACCAUGCCCAGCUGAUUUUUGUACUUUUAGUAGAAACGGGGUUUCACUAUGUUGGCUGGUCUUGAACUCCUGACAUCAAGUGAUCCGCCCACCUCGGCCUCCCAAAGUACUGGGAUUACAGGCAUGAGCCACCACGCCAGGCUGGUAGCAGUCUUUCCUAGAAUGUGGAUGCCUUGGAAAACAGGGGCUCUGCCUUGUUUCCCUAGAACCUAGAAUGGCAUCUGGCACACAGCAGAUGCUACAUCUAUUGUAAAUGAAUGAAUGAAAGAAGUGUCCUUGCAGCCACACUGGCAGCCGUAACAUAGUGGUUAUAAAUCUAGACUCUGGAGUCUCAAGUGCAAAUGUCAUUGGCCUCUCCUCCAGCCUCCUCAAGGGGCACUCAAUGACUGGAAGUGCCCUGAUAUGACUGUGGUUGGACUGACAUGACUGCCAGAUGGUGGGACUUGGUCUGGAGCAGAGACUACUUGGAAUGGUAGAGGCAAAACUCAACAGCCCCUGGAGCUGCGCUUGUGGUGGAGCUGGACCCUGAUUUUAGCUGGACCUUGUUUUUAGAGACAGGGUUUCCUUCUGCAGUCUCAAUCUCCUAGCCUUGAUUGAUCCUCCUGCCUUGGCCUCCCAAAGUGCUGGGACUACAGGUGCAUGCAACCACACCUGGCUAAUUUUCUUCUCUUCUUUCUUUUCUUUUUUUUUUUUUUGAUGGAGUCUUGUUCUGUUGCCCAGGCUGGAGUGCAAUGGUGCCAUCUCGGCUCACUGCAACCUCUGCCUCCCGGGUUCAAUCCAUUCUCCUGCCUCAGCCUCCCAAGUAGCUGGGACUACAGGCACAUGCAACCACGUCUGGCUAAUUUUCUUGAGUUUUAGUAGAGACUGGGUCUCGUUAUGUUGUCCAGGCUGGUCCCGAGCUCCUGAGUUCAAUCGAUCUUCCUGCCUUGGUCUCCCAAAGUGCUGGGCCUACAGGCGUGAGCCACCAUCCCCAGCCCAAUUUUUGUAUAUUUUGUAGAGACACAGUCUUGCUAUGUUGUCCAGGCUGGUCUCAAACUCCUGGGCUCAAGGGAUCUUCUUGCCUUGGCCUCCCGGAGCACUUAAUUACAGGAAUGACUGCAUGUGCUGUUGUGCCUAUACUUUCUGGAGAUACGUUGUUAGGAAUUUAUGUAGUUGGCCGGGCACGGUGGCUCACGCCUGUAAUCCCAGCACUCUGGGAUGCCGAGGCAGGUGGAUCACCUGAGGUCAGGAGUUCGAGACCAGCCUGGUCAACAUGGUGAAACCCUGUCUCUACUAAUAAUACUAAAAUCAGAGGUUGCUUGCAGUGAGCCAAGAUCAUACCAUUGCACUGCAGCCUGGGCAACAGAGCGAGACUCUGUCUCAAAAAAAAAAAAAAAAGGAAUUUACAUAGUUGAACAACUAUUCUUUGGACAUCUUUUAGUCCAGUAGACGGUGUUAAACUUGAAGACAAAUAACGAUUUGACCUGUGAUAUUUGUUUUUCCCUCUUAUCUUCUAAGCCCAUUCAUCCAGAUCAUUCAUCACCUUUAAAGGCAUCCCCAGAGGGAGGCAGGUCUGGACAGAGCUGAAGAUUGCACAGGCCAUUUGCAGGCUGGAUUAGUUCUGUGGUGACCCACCUGUCUGACUCGAGUUAUUUUUUUCCCAUGUCUGGACAAGACUGACCUCUGCCCAGCAACUCAGGCCUGGAUUUAGUCCAAGGGCCCUCAGUGGCUUUUUUGUUUGUUUGUUUUUUCAGGAAGUGAAGAAUUUAGAGGGAUAAAAGGCGGAAAUAACUUUUCAGCCUCUGACCUUUGUAACAAUCUAGUUUCCUUUUAAAGGAGCAUUGUUUGGGCCUGGGGCCACCUAGACCUUCUGAUGCUCUUUCCCCACCCUUGGAGGAGGAGGAAAGGAAGAAAAUGGGCCCUGAGCGAUCACCACAUACCAGGCCCUGGGGGUCUAGUGGCGAAGGAGGCAGGUAGGGUCUCUUGCUUUCAUGGAGCUUCUAGUCAAGCGAGACGCACUAAACAGUAAAGGGACAAAUAGGAUUACUGGAGGUAGCCCUAACUACUGGGACAGAAACAAGAUGGUAAGAUAGAGAAGGAAGAGUGGCCUGCUCAGAUGGGGUGGUCCAGAGGCCUCUCGGGGGAGGUGACUCCUUUUUAUUUUAUUUUUUUUGAGAUGGAAUCUAGCUCUGUCGCCCAGCCUGAAGUGCAGUCGUGUGUUUCAUGCGCGUCCGUGUGAAGAGACCACCAAACAGGCUUUGUGUGAGCAACAUGGCUGUUUAUUUCACCUGGGUGCAGGCGGGCUGAGUCCGAAAAGAGAGUCAGCAAAGGGUGGUGGAUUAUCAUUAGUUCUUACAGGUUUUGGGAUAGGGGGUGAAGAGCCAUGUUUUGCAGGCAGGGGUGGAUCUCACAAAGUACAUUCUCAAGGGUGGGGAGAAUUACAAAGAACCUUCUUAAGGGUUGGGGAGAUUACAAAGUACCUUCUUAAGGGUGGGGGAGAUUACAAAGUACAUUGAAGAGUUAGGGUGGGGCAGAAACAAAUCACAAUGGUGGAAUGUCAUCAGUUAAGGCUAUUUUUACUUCUUGUGUGGAUCUUCAGUUACUUCAGGCCAUCUGGAUGUAUACGUGCAAGUCACAGGGGAUGCAAUGGCUUGGCUUGGGCUCAGAGGCCUGACAGUGUGAUCUUGGCUCACUGCAAACUCUGCCUCCUGGGUUCAAGCAAUUUUUGUGCCUCAGCUUCCCGAGUAGCUGGGAUUACAGGUGCCCGCCACCAUGCCCAGCUAAUUUUUGUAUUUUUAGUAGAGACAUAGAGUUUCACCAGAUUGGCCAGGCUGGUCUCGAACUCCUGUCUCACGUGUCUGUGUGAAGAGACCACCAAACAUGCUUUGUGUGAGCAACAUGGCUGUUUAUUUCACCUGGGUGCAGGCGGGCUGAGUCCGAAAAAGGAGUCAACAAAGGGUGGUGUGAUUAUCACUGGUUCUUAUAGAUUUGGGGAUAGGCGGUGGAGUUAAGAGCAGUGUUUUGGGGGCAGGAGGUGGAUCUCAUAAAGUACAUUGUCAAAGGUGAGGAGAAUUACAAAGAAACUUCUUAAGGGUGGGGGAGAUGAUAAAGAACCUUCUUAAGAGUGGGGCAGAUUACAAAGUACAUUGAUCAGUUAGGGUGGGGCAGAAACAAAUGACAAUGGUGGAAUGUCUUCAGUUAAGGCUGUUUUCACUUCUGUGGAUCUUCAGUUGCUUCAGGCCAUCUGGAUGUAUACGUGCAGGUCACUGGGAUAUGAUGGCUUAGCUUGGACUCAGAGGCCUGACAUUCCUGUCUUCUUAUGUUAAUAAGAAAAAUAAAACAAAAUAGUGGUAAAGUGUUGGGGUGGCGAAAAUUUUUGGGGGUGAUAUGGAGAGAUAAUGGGCGAUGUUUCUCAGGGCUGCUUCGAGUGGGAUUAGGGGCGGCAUGGGAACCUACAGUGGGAGAGAUUCAACUGAAGAAAGAUUUUGGGGUAAGGGCUGAUACUGUGGGGUUGUUAGAAGGAGCAUUUGUCAUAUAGAAUUAUUGGUGAUGGCCUGAAUAUGGUUUUGUAUGAAUUGAGAAACUAAACAGAAGACACACGGUCCGAAUAAGAGAAGGAGAAAAACAGGUAUUAAAGGACUAAGAAUUGGGAGGACCCAGGACAUCCAAUUAAGAGAGUGCCCAAGGGGGUUCAGCAUAAUUAUUUGCUUGGUUGGCAAGUUUUUGGACUCUAUCCUUGAGUUUUUUUAUGUUGUCAUAUACCAGGCCAGAUUGAUUUAGGUAAAAACAACACUCUUCAUUUAAAAAUAUACAGAGUCGUCCUUUUUCAGCAAUGAGUAAAUUGAGGCCUUGGCGAUUUUGGAGGAAAGAGAAUUGCAAAGCCAGCAAUUGUUUCUUUUUUUAUUUAUUUAUUUACUUAUUUUUUUAAAUUAUACUUUAAGUUAUAGGGUACAUGUACACAAUGUGCAGGUUUGUUACAUAUGUAUACAUGUGCCAUGUUGGUGUACUGCACCCAUUAACUCGUCAUUUACAUUAGGUGUAUCUCCUACUGCUAUCCCUUCCCCCUCCCCCACCACACAAGAGGCCCCAGUGUGUGAUGUUCCCCUUCCUGUGUCCAAGUGUUCUCAUUGUUCAAUUCCCAUCUGUGAGUGAGAACAUGCGGUGUUUGGUUUUUUGUCCUUGUGAUAGUUUGCUGAGAGUGAUCGUUUCCAGCUUCAUCCAUGUCUCUACAAAGGACAUGAACUCAUCCUUUUUUAUGGCUGCAUAGUACUCCAUGGUGUAUCUGUGCCACAUUUUCUUAAUCCAGUCUAUCAUUGAUGGACAUUUGUGUUGGUUCCAAGUCUUCACUAUCGUGAAUAUUGCCGCGAUAAACAUAUGUGUGCAUGUGUCUUUAUAGCAGCAUGAUUUAUAAUCCUUUGGGUAUGUAUCCAGUAAUGGGAUGGCUGGGUCAAAUGGUAUUUCUAGUUCUAGAUCCCUGAGGAAUCGCCACACUGUCUUCCACAAUGGUUGAACCAGUUUACAGUCCCACCAACAGUGUAAAAGUGUUCCUAUUUCUCCACAUCCUCUCCAGCACCUGUUGUUUCCUGACUUUUUAAUGAUCGCCAUUCUAACUGGUGUGAGAUGAUAUCUCAUUGCGGUUUUGAUUUGCAUUUCUCUGAUGGCCAGUGAUGAUGAGCAUUUUUUCAUGUGUCUGUUGGCUGCAUAAAUGUCUUCUUUUGAGAAGUGUCUGUUCAUAUGCUUUGCCCACUUUUUGAUGGGGUUUGUUUUUUUUCUUGUAAAUUUGUUGGUGUUCUUUGUAGAUUCUGGAUAUUAGCCUUUUGUCAGAUAAGUAGAUGGCAAAAAUUUUCUCCCAUUCUCUAGGUUGCCUGUUCACACUGAUCCUAGUUUCUUUUGCUGUGCAGAAGCUCUUUAGUUUAAUUAGAUCCCAUUUGUCAGUUUUGGCUUCUGUUGCCAUUGCUUUUGGUGUUUUAGACAUGAAGUCCUUGCCCAUCCCUAUGUCCUGAAUGGUAUUGCCUAGGUUUUCUUCUAGGGUUUUUACGGCUUUAGGUCUAACAUUUAAGUCUUUAAUCCAUCUUGAAUUAAUUUUUGUAUAAGGUGUAAGGAAGGGAUCCAGUUUCAGCUUUCUACAUAGGGCUAGCCAGUUUUCCCAGCACUAUUUAUUAAGUAGGGAAUCCUUUCCGCAUUUCUUGUUUUUGUCAGGUUUGUCAAAGAUCAGAUGGUUGUAGAUGUGUGGUAUUAUUUCUGAGGGCUCUGUUCUGUUCCAUUGGUCUAUAUGUCUGUUUUGGUACCAGUACCAGGCUGUUUUGGUUACUGUAGCCUUGUAGUAUAGUUUGAAGUCAGGUAGCAUGAUGCCUCCAGCUUUGUUCAUUGGGCUUAGGAUUGUCUUGGCAAUGCGGGCUCUUUUUUGGUUCCAUAUGAACAUUAAAGUAGUCUUUUGCAACUCUCAUCAGCCCAGUUUAAUAUUACCUAUUUAUUAUAAUGUAAUGCUGCUCGCACAACUGAGAAAAUACUGUUGCUUUACCCCCUCCAGCUCUGUAGCAGCCACGCAGAAAUCAUAGAACUGUAAACAUAUGCUAAUUACACAACCUAUGUAGGCAAUCAAUAUUAAGAAAAAUUUUUACUGCCCGGUAUUUCUGUGGUUGAAAAUGUAGAGUCUAAUUUUGAUCCGCAGUAACAUCUAGGUUAAUGUUGAUUCAGAAGGAAAACGUUUGUUGUUGCCAUGAGAAGAGGCAUUGAAAUGCUGAAUCACCACCACAAAUGUUACCACUAUUAAUAUAAGGAGAUACAUAGGAAGAUGGAAUUAGACCAUCUCGGACCACCAGGUUUACAAUUCCACCUGCAGAUACAUGCAAGAAGUAUUGUCACAAUACUUAUGUCACGUUAUUCCGUUGAGGUCAUCACCAACUAAGCUUAUAAUUAAUGUGUGGUCAAUUUGGUCAAUGUCACCAGCGUAGCAUACUAACAAAAACAAGGGUUGCAAAGUCAAAUGCCUAUAAGGCAGAACGUAAGACGGUAGGAAGCAAAGUCUAUAGGGAGCUAUAUAAUAGAGGCUGCAGAUUCAUGGCAGAUUCUAAAGCACAGCAGUCCCCAACAUUUUUGGCACCAGGGACCGGCUUUGUGGAAGACAAUUUUUCCACAGGCGGCAAGGGAUGGGGCGCAGGAUGGUAAUGGUCUUGGGAUGAAACUGUUCCACCACAAAUCAUCAGGAAUUAGAUUCUCAUAAGGAAUAUGCAACCUGGAUCCCUCGUGUGUGCAAUUCACAACAGGGUUCAUGCUCCUGUAAGAAUCUAAUGAUGCUGCUGAUCUGACAGGAGGCAGAGCUCAGGCAGCAAUGCAAGCAAUGGGGAGCAGCCAGAAAUACAGACGAAGCUUCAAUUGUUACCCACCAUUCACCUCCUGCUCUGUGGCCCAGUUCCUAACAGGCCACAGACCAGUACAUGUCCAUGGCCCAGGGGUCAGGCACCCCUGCUGUGGCACAUUGCUUAAUAGAGGACUGUAGCAGCCAUGUGCCCUGACCUUUCCUUUUUUUUUUUUUU